rnacentral:RNase_P_RNA from 1 species
AGUAGUCGCUGGACAAAUUUGUUCAGAGGAAAGUCCGGGCUUCAUAGGGCAGGAUGCCAGGUAACGCCUGGUGAGGGAAACCUUAAGGAAAGUGCAACAGAAAGUAUACCGCCUAAUUUUAGGUAAGGGUGAAAUGGCAGGGUAAGAGCCUACCGCAUUUGUGGUAACACAAAUGGCAGUGUAAACCCCAUCCGAAGCAAGACCAAGUAGAAGCGUUGACGUGGCCCGCUAGCUUCAGGUAGGUCGCUUGAGCCAAGUAUUGGCCUAGAUAGAUGACUACUCACGACAGAACCCGGCUUAUCGUUUCGCU